UCCGCGUCAGUCACCCGCGUGUCCCUUCGAGUGGCCCCUUCCUAAUAAUAAUAAUACAACGGGUACGGGGAAAAAAACGCUUUUUUUUUUUUUUUUCCAAACCGGCGAUAUUGGCGUCAAACGGUUUGCGUUGACGGUGUACUGUGUCGUUCGCGCGAUCCCGACCGGCGAGAAACCCCGACUAGUCGAAAGUAACGAACGCCAAAAGCUCAGGCCUACGCGGGAAAAAGCAGGCGAGUCAACUGAUACCGGGAAAGAACCAGACGCGAGUGUAGUCGGGCCAAUACACGGCCAUACAAAAGCCGUGGGUAAUAAUGUAACACGACAUUCUUGUGUUGUGGUUACUACAUUUCAAAGUUUAACGUUUACAUAAUCCGGAACGUUUUACUCUGUUCCGGUUUUCUUCCCCGUGCGCCUUCGUUUUAUAUCUACGGACCAAAUUAUUGUACUGUUAUGCGCACGAUCUAAAUGUUAGAAAUUUUGAGUAUGGUGUUAUAGGCGAUUGCCAAAAAUAUUUUUUAUAGAUCUUAUAACCAAUAAUAUGGAUAAGUUUUGCUAAAAUCUGGAGAAACAAGAAACUUCCUAAAACCGUCCAUUAGUAAAAUAUCCGUCACGAUGAUAGGAUUGGGAGAUAAGCAUUCCGGACACUACACUCAGUUUAACGAGAAUAGUUGAAGGAACAGCGGAAGAAAAAAACGGUAGUGGAACACCUUCCUUAAGUCAUAUUGCCCGGAUAAUUUGGAACAUAAAUUAAUAACACAUCGCACUGUGAGCUAAAUAAGAAUGCGGGAAUUAUGUAUAGUUGCUGCCAACCAGGCUAAAGGCUGCUAAACUUAAAACGUAUUACAUGAUCUAGGCAAAACAUAUUAUUUUUAUGUAAAACGUAUGUUAUUUUUAUUGCGACAAAACGUUGAAAUGUAAACGGUAACGAGUAUACCAUAUAACUAUAUGAUAGUUAAAUGCGGAAUACAGUAUGACAGCCCGUGUAUAUAGAUAACACUGAUAACCGGGUCAACCGAUCGGCGCCAAUUAAGCACACAUAGUCCGCGGGACUUUCGAAAUAGGUAGUACCGUUGAUUCUAUAAUAGACUGCAGGUAAGCAACUAUGUAAGGGUUUUAUAAAAUCAAUGGUUGUGCCCUUACUUUUGUUGCUCUGAAUACCGUUCGCUGAAUUAUGCGUUUGCGAAAUCAAAUAACAUAUCGGUUAUUUGCGUCAUUCGACAUACUAUCCCUCGCUGAUUUGUCUAUCGCGCGAAGAAACGAAUAACUAAAUAAUAAU